rnacentral:rRNA from 1 species
UACGUAGGGGGGCUAGCGUUGUCCGGAAUCAUUGGGCGUAAAGCGCGUGUAGGCGGUCCGGUAAGUCCGCUGUGAAAGUCGGGGGGCUCAACCCUCGAAUGCCGGUGGAUACUGUCGGGCUAGAGUGCGGAAGAGGCGAGUGGAAUUCCUGGUGUAGCGGUGAAAUGCGCAGAUAUCAGGAAGAACACCCGUGGCGAAGGCGGCUCUCUGGGACGGUACUGACGGCUGAGACGGCGAAAGCGUGGGGAGCGAACAGG